ensembl:lincRNA 2610028E06Rik RIKEN cDNA 2610028E06 gene
AACCAGGCCACGCCAGACGCAUCAUCUCUGGGUCCCAGUAUUCAUCCCCUUCCCGCCCCGCCCCGCCCCUGAAGACAGCAUGCAGCUGCAGAUUCCAGGGAGACUGCUGCUUAGGGGGGCCUACUGAAGCCAUAGCCCUGUGUGAGGAACUCAGGAUGAGAAGGUGAAGAUCAGAGACUCUCAGAGCCCACCUACAGCUUGUCCCCACGGAACCCACCCGACUUUUCCCUGCCUAGCCCACUCCACCACCGAUUGGGCCUAGCCCUGGCUGUGGGCAGCGAACUGGAAUCUCGAGCUGAGGGAACUCUGCCAUCCCGGGCAUGGAUUUCGUGUUCUUUCAGGUCUUGGAUAUAAAAUGCUUUCCGUAGGCCCCGUGCUUGAGCACAUGAUCACCAGCGGGUGGCGCUGUUUUUCGAGGCUGUGAACCAUACAAAAGGUGCUCAACUGAAGUGGGACCACCAUCUCCAGAACUUCCAGAGGCAGGAAAGUGGGCCGAGAAGAGCCCUGCAGACAAUGAGAGGUCCACGCGGAGCAUCACACAAGCCAGAUAAUGGCCGAGCCCAGGCCAGAACCUCAGCCUCCUCGUAUGUGCGGCGUGGGUAUGAGUGGAACGCUGCACGUGGCUGUGCCUGUACCACACGCGUGAGUGCAUGGGCACCACAUGCCUGCUUGUAGCUGGCUCCUCAUCUCCAGCCCCUGGACCUCCAGGGUUAACGCUCCGCUCAGGCGCUGGGAAGUGCAGCCACUCCACGUUGGACUUCAAGCUUCUCAUCAGAAGAAUGGGGAAAGUGACAAUAUGGUGACCGGCAGAGGUGCCAGCACUCAAUACAUAGAGGUCUCGAAGCAGUAAUGUCUCUUAGCAUCCUUGGUUGUCAGAGGACUGGGACGCUCAAAGAGAAACUGAGCUGCUGUGCCAAGCCUCUCUCACCACAGUGGACUGAAGACCCUGCAACAGCCAGAAGUGACUGUCGCCUCCUUUGGCUAUUUCUAUCAGAUACACCAGAAGGUUGUGAGCCACCACAUGGUUGCUGGGAAUUGAACUCAGGACCACUGGAAGAGUCAGUCAACUGCUGAGUCUUAAGCGCUGAGCCAUCUCUCCAGGUUUUUUAUUCUACACCAUGUGCAUGCAGUGUCAAUCGAGAACUGAAGAGGGCACUAGACUCCCUGGAAGUGCAGAUGCAGAUGACUGUGAGCUACUGCGUGGCUUCUGGAACCUGAACCCAGGCUCUCUGCAAGAGCAGUCAGUUCUCCUAACAUCAGAACCAUCUCUCUAGCUCUAUCAUUUGACUUUUAACUGCUAACACUCACUUCUGCCUUAAAGAAGGUUUUUUAUUUCUAUAAAGCCAAAUUAGUCUCCCCUGCCCCUUUCUGAGGGCUUUGUCUGAGGAUUUCUCACGCAUUAAAAAUAUUGUUCAAACUGUAUCUGUGGUUCCUUUCAGGCUAAUUCUUUCAUUAAAAAUGUUUCAGUCCCUGACCCACCUAGAAUUUGCUUUGGUAUAAAGUAUGACACGGGGAUCUAAUUUUCUCAAUGGCUAAUUGGAUGUCCUAAUGACAUUAAUAAGUAGUUCAUCUUCUCCUCAAUGAUUUUGUUUUCUGCCCCAACUUUAUCAAAGUACAACUGAUAAACAUUAUACAUAUGGGAUGCAUAAUAUAUUUUGAUUUAUGCAUACAUUAUGAGAUGUUUGAUCAAGUCAAUUCAUGUAUCCAUCACCUAAUUAUUAUUAUGGUUUAAAUAUUAAAUGCCCCUCACAGGAUCAUACUUUGAAUGCUUGGCCUCAAAGUUCUGUCUUAGUGAGUUUUGUUGGUAGUUCUGUCUCAUGGAGUUCUGGAAACUUUAGAAGGCGGGGCCUAUGGUCAUCCGGACAUGUCUUUGUGAGUCUAUUCACCAGGGCUUCUUCUAAUCUUUCACUGUGCUCCCCAUCUCCUGGGAUGUAAGCAGUGGUCUCCCACCACAUGCUCCUGCCGCCAUGAUGUUCUGUUCAAGUGUGAAGGGCCAAGUGUGUUUCAGGUCAUGCAUGGCCUGAACUCUCUGAAACCCUGAGCCGGAAUCCAUACUUCUUUCUGUAUAUACAAUGUAGAUAUAGUGGGGUGUGUCUCUCAGAUAUUUUGUCAAAGCAAUGAGAAAAACAGCUUUAUGAUUUAAAUGUGAAAUAUGCCCUGCAGGUACAUCGUUUGAACUCUGGAUCCCUGGAUAGCAGUGCUGUAUUUUUGAAAGGCUGUGGAAACUUUAGGAGGCAGGGCGUCAGUGUUGGCAAUGGACCACUGAGGGAGGGGCCAGCCUUGAGGAUUAUAGUCUGGGUCUCAGGCUGAGCUCUUAGCUUUCCUGUUCUAGUAAGAUGUGAGCAAACUGAGGCAAAAGAGAGCUGUUCCGUAAGCUUCUGCCUCCACAGACAGGGGCAGGACCACUGCCAUGCUUUCCUGUCUAUGACCUGAGCCAAGUCCUUUUUCCCUUGAGCUGCUUCUCAACGAUGUCUUAGGCAUUUGGGCACAGCAACAAAAGACUGCAUACAGCAGCUGAUACCCUUACACACAUUUUUGUGGCAAGAUCAUUUACAAUCUGAGCUGGUGAAUUCCAGAUGACCAAAGAAACCACUUCAUCCAAGUCCAGUUGGUAAAGCCAUGAGUUAAUUGAGAGUUUCUUCUUGAGCAUGAAUGACACUGCGGACACUGUGCCCCACUGUGGCACAAAGGGUAGCUCACUCAGGCUACCCACAUUUCUAGUUCCCCAUACAGCUUAUGAGCAGCAGUCUCAACCAGAGGCUCUUUCCUCCUCUCAUCUCAGGAACCUUACGAACCUCCUCCCUAAUCCAGGAUCGACUGUUCUGUUCUAGAAGAAGCAGUUCCACAGUACAUGUAUUAUUAUUGACUAUAGUCACCAGGCUGCACAACCGGAAGUGUUCAUCAUGCCUAACAGGAGUGUCGCCUCCUUUCCCUGCAUCCUCCCUGUAUCCCUCAGUCCUGGCAACUAGCAUUCUGCGCUCUGCCGCUGUGAGUUCAAUGCUGUUAAAUUUUAAGUGUAAGUGAAACCACAGAAGGCUCUCCAUGCCUGGCUUAUUUUAUUUGGCACAAUGCCUUCAGGUUCAUCCAUGUUGCAAAUGACAGGAUUCCCAGACUCCUAUUUCCCAGUGUCUUAAAGCAAGGGUGGUUUCUCCAUAAGGUGUUGUGGACUAAAUGUAGGGUCGCAAAAUAUUUGGUGAGAGUUAAAACAUUUCUGAACUUGUGGGGACCCACCCUGAUUCAAAAUCAAAUGUGCAAUGAAACCAAGGUAUGCAGGGUGCUUGCUUGUGUUGUGUCAUGUGACCUCACUGAAGCCGUGGUUCAGCACACCCCACAUGGGCUUUUUGCACUGGGCAGGCGGGCACAGCACGCGACACCAAUGGAGACUGCUUGAGAGACCUUGGCUCAUCGUGGAGAUUAUUCUGUGUUAUGAACUGCGGUGUUCUUUACUGAACAUGCAGAGCUCUCAGCUCUUGUGCAAAGAGAAUGGUUUCAUUAUAGAGAACAGGCUUUUAAUAUUUUCCUACCCCUAUUCUUCAGCAUGUAAGUAUCAAGUUGGUGGUAUAGCUUUGGAUUAUAUUGUGUUUGAAUGUUUGACUUUAAAAAUUGCUGUUUGAGUUGCUGACUCAAAUUUC